rnacentral:misc_RNA from 1 species
CCUGUUCGAGCGUCAUUACAACCCUCAAGCAAUGCUUGGUAUUGGGCCUGGCUGUAACCAGCCGGCUUUAAAAUCAGUGGCGGUGCAUCUGGCUCUAAGCGUAGUAAAUUUUCUCGCUACAGAACCAUAUAGACACUGGCCAUUAACUUAUAUUUUCUAUGGUUGACCUCGGAUCAGGUAGGGAUACCCGCUGAACUUAA